rnacentral:rRNA from 1 species
CCUACGGGUGGCAGCAGUGAGGAAUAUUGGUCAAUGGACGAGAGUCUGAACCAGCCAAGUAGCGUGAAGGAUGACUGCCCUAUGGGUUGUAAACUUCUUUUAUAUGGGAAUAAAAUGUUCCACGUGUGGGAUUUUGUAUGUACCAUAUGAAUAAGGAUCGGCUAACUCCGUGCCAGCAGCCGCGGUAAUACGGAGGAUCCGAGCGUUAUCCGGAUUUAUUGGGUUUAAAGGGAGCGUAGGUGGAUUGUUAAGUCAGUUGUGAAAGUUUGCGGCUCAACCGUAAAAUUGCAGUUGAAACUGGCAGUCUUGAGUAGAGUAGAGGUGGGCGGAAUGCGUGGUGUAGCGGUGAAAUGCUUAGAUAUCACGCAGAACUCCGAUUGCGAAGGCAGUUCACUGGACUGCAACUGACACUGAGGCUCGAAAGUGUGGGUAUCAAACAGGAUUAGAUACCCGAGUAGUC